UUUAAUAGUCGUAGUGACUGCGGAAGGAUCAUUAAAGAGUAAGGGUGCUCAGCGCCCGACCUCCAACCCUCUGUUGUUAAAACUACCUUGUUGCUUUGGCGGGACCGCUCGGUCUCGAGCCGCUGGGGAUUCGUCCCAGGCGAGCGCCCGCCAGAGUUAAACCAAACUCUUGUUAUAUAAACCGGUCGUCUGAGUUAAAAUUUUGAAUAAAUCAAAACUUUCAACAACGGAUCUCUUGGUUCUCGCAUCGAUGAAGAACGCAGCGAAAUGCGAUAAGUAAUGUGAAUUGCAGAAUUCAGUGAAUCAUCGAAUCUUUGAACGCACAUUGCGCCCCUUGGUAUUCCGAGGGGCAUGCCUGUUCGAGCGUCAUUACACCACUCAAGCUAUGCUUGGUAUUGGGCGUCCGUCCCUUCGGGGGCGCGCCUUAAAGACCUCGGCGAGGCCUCACCGGCUUUAGGCGUAGUAGAAUUUAUUCGAACGUCUGUCAAUGGAGAGGACUUCUGCCGACUGAAACCUUUUAUAUUUUUCUAGGUUGACCUCGGAUCAGGUAGGGAUACCCGCUGAACUUAAGCAUAUCAAUAGCCGGAGGAAA
rnacentral:rRNA from 1 species